rnacentral:rRNA from 1 species
AACGCGAAGAACCUUACCUACCCUUGACAUGCCAGGAAUCUUGCAGAGAUGUGAGAGUGCUCGAAAGAGAACCUGGACACAGGUGCUGCAUGGCCGUCGUCAGCUCGUGUCGUGAGAUGUUGGGUUAAGUCCCGCAACGAGCGCAACCCUUGUCAUCAGUUGCUACGAAAGGGCACUCUGAUGAGACUGCCGGUGACAAACCGGAGGAAGGUGGGGAUGACGUCAGGUCCUCAUGGCCCUUAUGGGUAGGGCUACACACGUCAUACAAUGGCCGGUACAGAGGGCUGCCAACCCGCGAGGGGGAGCCAAUCCCAGAAAACCGGUCGUAGUCCGGAUCGCAGUCCGCAACUCGACUGCGUGAAGUCGGAAUCGCUAGUAAUCGCGGAUCAGCUUGCCGCGGUGAAUACGUUCCCGGGCCUUGUACACACCG